AUUGAACGCUGGCGGCAUGCUUUACACAUGCAAGUCGAACGGCAGCGCGUGCUUCGGCCUGGCGGCGAGUGGCGAACGGGUGAGUAAUUCAUCGGAACGUGCCCAGUAGUGGGGGAUAGCGCGGCGAAAGCCGGAUUAAUACCGCAUACGACCUGAGGAUGAAAGCGUGGGACCGAAAGGCCUCGCGCUAUUGGUGCGUCCGAUGUCGGAUUAGCUAGUUGGUGGGGUAAAGGCUUACCAAGGCGACGAUCCGUAGCUGGUCUGAGAGGACGACCAGCCACACUGGGACUGAGACACGGCCCAGACUCCUACGGGAGGCAGCAGUGGGGAAUUUUGGACAAUGGGGGCAACCCUGAUCCAGCCAUGCCGCGUGCGGGAAGAAGGCCUUCGGGUUGUAAAGCGCUUUUGUUCGGGAAGAAAAACUGUGGGCUAAUACCCCGGGGGGAUGACGGUACCGGAAGAAUAAGCACCGGCUAACUACGUG
rnacentral:rRNA from 1 species